rnacentral:rRNA from 1 species
CCUACGGGAGGCAGCAGUGGGGAAUAUUGCACAAUGGGGGAAACCCUGAUGCAGCGACGCCGCGUGAGUGAAGAAGUAUUUCGGUAUGUAAAGCUCUAUCAGCAGGGAAGAAAAUGACGGUACCUGACUAAGAAGCCCCGGCUAACUCCGUUCCAGCAGCCGCGGUAAUACGGAGGAUGCGAGCGUUAUCCGGAUUUAUUGGGUUUAAGGGGUGCGCAGGCGGUCUGUUAAGUCAGCGGUAAAAGUCCGGGGCCAAACCCGGGCCCGCCGUUGAAACUGGCAGUCUCGAGUUGGAGAGAAGUAGGCGGAAUGCGCGGUGUAGCGGUGAAAUGCAUAGAUAUCGCGCAGAACUCCGAUUGCGAAGGCAGCAUGCCGGCUCCACACUGACGCUGAGGCACGAAAGCGUGGGUAUCGAACAGGAUUAGAUACCCUGUAGUC